CUGCUGGUAAAGGUCAUUACGUAUUACUUUACUUACGAGGAAAAGAAACCAACAGGGAUUGCCCUAGUAACGGCGAGUGAAGCGGCAACAGCUCAAAUUUGAAAUCUGGCCCUCGGGUCCGAGUUGUAAUUUGCAGAGGAUGCUUUUGGUGCGGUGCCUUCCGAGUUCCCUGGAACGGGACGCCAUAGAGGGUGAGAGCCCCGUCCGGUUGGAUGCCUAGCCUCUGUAAAGCUCCUUCGACGAGUCGAGUAGUUUGGGAAUGCUGCUCUAAAUGGGAGGUAUAUGUCUUCUAAAGCUAAAUACCGGCCAGAGACCGAUAGCGCACAAGUAGAGUGAUCGAAAGAUGAAAAGCACUUUGAAAAGAGGGUUAAAUAGUACGUGAAAUUGUUGAAAGGGAAGCGUUUGUGACCAGACUUGGGCUCGGUUAAUCAUCCAGCGUUCUCGCUGGUGCACUUUGCCGGUCCAGGCCAGCAUCAGUUCGCCGCAGGGGAUAAAGGCUUCGGGAACGUAGCUCCCUCGGGAGUGUUAUAGACCGUUGCGCAAUACCCUGCGGUGGACUGAGGUUCGCGCUCUGCAAGGAUGCUGGCGUAAUGGUCAUCAACGACCCGUCUUGAAACACGGACCAAGGAGUCGUCUUCGUAUGCGAGUGUUCGGGUGUCAAACCCCUACGCGUAAUGAAAGUGAACGCAGGUGAGAGCUUCGGCGCAUCAUCGACCGAUCCUGAUGUUCUCGGAUGGAUUUGAGUAGGAGCAUACGGGGCCGGACCCGAAAGAAGGUGAACUAUGCCUGUAUAGGGUGAAGCCAGAGGAAACUCUGGUGGAGGCUCGCAGCGGUUCUGACGUGCAAAUCGAUCGUCAAAUAUGGGCAUGGGGGCGAAAGACUAAUCGAACCUUCUAGUAGCUGGUUUCCGCCGAAGUUUCCCUCAGGAUAGCAGUGUUGAACUCAGUUUUAUGAGGUAAAGCGAAUGAUUAGGGACUCGGGGG
rnacentral:rRNA from 1 species